rnacentral:rRNA from 1 species
UGCCAGCCGCCGCGGUAACACGGGGGGUGCAAGCGUUAUUCGGAAUUAUUGGGCGUAAAGCGCACGCAGGCGGUAUGGUCAGUCAGAUGUGAAAGCCCGGGGCUCAACCCCGGAACUGCCUCUAAUACUGCUAGUCUUGAGUUCGAGAGAGGUGAGUGGAAUUCCUGGUGUAGAGGUGAAAUUCGUAGAUAUUCGGAGGAACACCAGUGGCGAAGGCGGCUUUCUGGACCGAUACUGACACUGAGACGCGAAAGCGUGGGGAGCAAACAGGAUUAGAUA